rnacentral:rRNA from 1 species
AUUGAACGCUGGCGGCAUGCUUUACACAUGCAAGCCGAACGGUAACAGGCCGCAAGGUGCUGACGAGUGGCGAACGGGUGAGUAAUGCAUCGGAACGUGCCCAGUCGUGGGGGAUAACUACUCGAAAGAGUAGCUAAUACCACAUACGAUCUAUGGAUGAAAGCGGGGGACCGUAAGGCCUCGCGCGAUUGGAGCGGCCGAUGUCAGAUUAGGUAGUUGGUGGGGUAAAGGCUCACCAAGCCAACGAUCUGUAGCUGGCCUGAGAGGACGACCAGCCACACUGGGACUGAGACACGGCCCAGACUCCUACGGGAGGCAGCAGUGGGGAAUUUUGGACAAUGGGCGCAAGCCUGAUCCAGCAAUGCCGCGUGCAGGAAGAAGGCCUUCGGGUUGUAAACUGCUUUUGUACGGAAAGAAACGGCUCUGGUUAAUACCCGGGGCUAAUGACGGUACCGUAAGAAUAAGCACCGGCUAACUACGUG